AUGCUUCCUGUCACCUGCCAGGUGCUUCUGAUUCUCUUGGUGCUCAAGAGAAACCGCGGAUACUCAGUGACCCAGACAGAAGGCCCGGUUGCUCUCACAGAGCGAGACCUUCUGACCCUGAACUGCACGUAUCAGACGAUUUAUUCAAGACCUGUAUUGACCUGGUAUGUCCAGUACAUGGACAAAGCUCCUCAGUUCCUCCUGAGGAACGCAAAAGAAAACCAGCGGACUGAGAGCCGAGGAUUUCAGGCCUCCUUUGGCAAGAGCCACAGCUCCUUCCACCUGAAGAAACCCUCACUCCAGCUCUCAGACUCUGCCGUGUACUACUGCGCCCUGGGGACACCGUAA